rnacentral:rRNA from 1 species
UACGUAGGGUGCAAGCGUUGUCCGGAAUUAUUGGGCGUAAAGAGCUCGUAGGCGGUCUGUCGCGUCGGAUGUGAAAAUCCAGGGCUCAACCCUGGACCUGCAUUCGAUACGGGCAGACUAGAGUUCGGCAGGGGAGACUGGAAUUCCUGGUGUAGCGGUGAAAUGCGCAGAUAUCGGGAGGAACACCAGAGGCGAAGGCGGGUCUCUGGGCCGAUACUGACGCUGAGGAGCGAAAGCGUGGGGAGCAAACAGG